AUAUAAUUUUUAGCGAUUAUACGCAGAUCGAGGUCUCAAUAGAUGUAAUACUUUCCCAACCGAUAUAAAAUAUGGAGGUUAUUCAAGAUAUAAAACGGAAACCGCUGAAGAUUAGUUCAUUCGAAAACUUUUUACCGACCACGUGUCGCAAUGGCACGAAACUUCUCGGACCACGCCCGCUCCAAAGCAUUUUUUGUCUAGACGUUGUAUCGAAGGGAUAGGAAACAAUUGUCGCGAUCCAAGAAGAUAAUUGAGCAAGGGCCAAGGACAUAAAGAAUGGUGCGUUCAUUGUGUCAUGAUCUGUUGCAUAAUUGUUCAAAUAUGUUCGUUUACCAGUUGCAUAAAGACCAAAGUAAAUGGACCUACAAAAUGCAUUAAAAAUUUCUCAUUCGCAUCACCUAAUCACUAUGAGAUUAUAAAUAAAUUUUUAUUGUCACGAUAUCUAUUUGUACGUUGUCCUUUCAUCUAUCGUCAAACAUUUAUUUGAAGAUAAAAUCAAAAGAAAUCGUAGGUUGAAUUUUGUAAAAUACAGGGCACCUAGUGUAUAAUGUAAGAAAUAAAGAAUCAAGUUGAAAUAUUUAAAUGUAUAAAUUCGUUCAAUAAACAGUCAAUACUUUUGA